rnacentral:rRNA from 1 species
GGGUUGUGAGGUUAAGCGACUAAGCGUACACGGUGGAUGCCCUGGCAGUCAGAGGCGAUGAAGGACGUGCUAAUCUGCGAUAAGCGUCGGUAAGGUGAUAUGAACCGUUAUAACCGGCGAUUUCCGAAUGGGGAAACCCAGUGUGAUUCGUCACACUAUCAUUAACUGAAUCCAUAGGUUAAUGAGGCGAACCGGGGGAACUGAAACAUCUAAGUACCCCGAGGAAAAGAAAUCAACCGAGAUUCCCCCAGUAGCGGCGAGCGAACGGGGAGGAGCCCAGAGCCUGAAUCAGUGUGUGUGUUAGUGGAAGCGUCUGGAAAGGCGCGCGAUACAGGGUGACAGCCCCGUACACAAAAAUGCACAUGCUGUGAGCUCGAUGAGUAGGGCGGGACACGUGGUAUCCUGUCUGAAUAUGGGGGGACCAUCCUCCAAGGCUAAAUACUCCUGACUGACCGAUAGUGAACCAGUACCGUGAGGGAAAGGCGAAAAGAACCCCGGCGAGGGGAGUGAAAAAGAACCUGAAACCGU